rnacentral:lncRNA from 1 species
GAAUAUGCAGGGUCUCUGGUGUUGAUGGAAAGGAUUGUUUACCUAGAGGCAGCUUGGUAUGACAUGUCACAAAGCAUUCUGUUUGAUUAACAGAUAAUAGAUACUGCAGACACUAGCAAAUUAUACUUACCUAGCAGUUGCCGCAUUCCAGCCAUGGAGUCAUAAUCUUAGAAAAAAGGUCUCGGUGUUUAGGUGAAUCUGAGGAAAGUCCAAAAUAUUGCAACUGUUCCAGUUGUUAAAAUUGUAAGCAAAGACGUAUGCUGGCUUAAACACAUCAACAAGACAACAAAACACUCAUUUCAUAUGCUGGCUCCAGUGAUGUUAAUUCAGCUGCAGAUACUUCUGUUCUCAAAUAUGUAUCAACAGUACCUGUGUCAGAUGUACUGGCAAACAUGUUAUAUCUUCAAUUUUGUCGAGCCCGCUUGCGGAAGCAAAGAUAGAUGUCCAAAUGGCUGUUCUGUGUAUGUGCGUGUGUGCGUGC